rnacentral:rRNA from 1 species
UACGUAGGGUGCGAGCGUUAAUCGGAAUUACUGGGCGUAAAGCGUGCGCAGGCGGUUUUGCAAGCCGGAUGUGAAAUCCCGGGCUUAACCUGGGAAUGGCAUUUGGGACUGCAAGGCUGGAGUGCGGCAGAGGAGACUGGAAUUCUGGUGUAGCAGUGAAAUGCGUAGAUAUCAGGAGGAACACCGAUGGCGAAGGCAGGUCUCUGGGCUGAACACUGACGCUCAUGCACGAAAGACGUGGGGGGAGCAAAACAGG